rnacentral:rRNA from 1 species
UACGUAGGGUGCAAGCGUUAAUCGGAAUUACUGGGCGUAAAGCGUGCGCAGGCGGUUGUGCAAGACAGAUGUGAAAUCCCCCCGGCUCAACUGGGGGAACUGCACAGGAGACUGCUUGGCUUGAGUUCGGGGAGAGGGAAGCGGAAUUCCGCGUGUAGCAGUGAAAUACGUAGAUAUCAGGAGGAAUACCGGUGGCGAAGGCGGCUGCCUGGUCCUACACUGACGCUGAGAUACGAAAAGCGUGGGGAUCAAACAGG